GAAAGUUAUCAACAACAGAUUUCAUUAGGGGAAGCACCACUACCACUAAAAGAGGGAGAACAAUUCGAUAUCGACAUUUUAAAAUUUCUUACGUGCAUCGAUACUUAUUCUAAAUUUUUAACAAUUAAAUAUAUUGCAGACAAAUUAAACUUAGAAGAAAACAGAAACAACUAAGGAAGGGUUAUGUUCGGCUGCAACCGUAGAUUUUAUACUCUUACAACUUGCAAGAAUCAAAGCCAUGGAAAUACUAUAAAACCAGUUAUACGAAUAUAGAGUAAAGUCAGCUAGGGGAUAUAUGCGGUCACCCCGAAAUUCAAAAAUCUUUAUAUUAAGUGUAUGAAGGGUAACGCAAGUAUUGGCCCGAUUCAACCCAUUUGUGACAGACACACCAUUAUAAGAGAAGGAUUAUUCCUUAAUUUCAGUUAUACAUACCACACAGUGACCCCGGGGUCUAAAUAUUCGGUACUAAGGGUCUUGAACAGUUUUUAUUGGAUUUAAACAAUUUUUAGUCAUACAAAUAUACACACCAAAAUUUUAUUCGUGCAAAGUUUUAUCACGUUUUAUUAAUUGCUUCUUGAUUUGUGUACUUGAAACUGAACGAAACAAGUGGAAUUUAAAAUUGUGUUUUAUGGGAAGUAGGUGUGGUUGUUGUCCGAUAUCGUCCAUUUUCGCAAUGUGAAAUAAGAAUGUAAGAAGAGUACCACGUACGAAAUUUUACCGAAAUCGGUUGGUCGGGAUAUGCGAUUUCACCAAAAAGUUGGCGGUGCCACGCCUAUCGUCCAAUUUUCACACCGGCUCCCAUAAAGCUCUCCCAUACUAUCUCGGAGGUAAAAUUUAAUGUCUCUGGCGUAUUUAGUUAUUGAUUUAUUAUAAUUUUAGUUGUUUUUAACAGUAACGUUAUAUGUGGAGUGGGCGAGGUUAUCCACCGAUUUCAUCCAUUUUUUAUAAGAUUUGUACUCAGCAAAUUUAGUUGUUGUAGCUUAACUUGUUAGAGGGCAGGGCCAAGGAUACUUUUCCAAAAAAUUUUGCCCACAGAUGCCCUUUUCUACUGCGAUCCUCUAUACCAAAUUACAGCUUUAUAUAUUAAUUCAGUACUUAGUUAUGGCACUUUAUUUGUUUUCGGUUAAUGGCUAAGAAAACCACAUACAAAGUUUCAUUGAGAUACCUUAAUUUUUACUCACUCAAGUUACAGCUUACACGGGUACGGAGUGAAUCUGUUAGAUCGAAUGUGCUGGAAUGAGAAUUUUUAAUUUAUAAGUUUGAAACGAUUGUCAUGAGUUAUGGAACCAGCACUGUUGAUGCGUUCUGCAUCAUGGCUGAGUAAAUACUGUCCAUACCAAGGGAUUUAAAGGAAUCGAAACCAUUGAAUGCCCAAAGUAUUUUGUCCUUCGUUGUGAUAUCGUAAGUGACGUACUCUACGCUAUUUCCUACAGGAAAGUUAAUAGCGAACGUACCCUCUGGAAGUCUUAUUGACUAGUUCUUCCAGUGAUUCCUCACUGCACCUACAUAUUACAGUCUUCACAUUUUUUGCGUAUUAAUCAAGGUGUGGUCGGGAACUUGGGUAGUAGUUUCCUAAGCCUAGCUACUUCGGUUAUCUUUUUUAAAAAAGCUGCAGAAGGCCGGGAAAUAUGCAAAGCUUGAUGGCCAGAUGUAGCAGUACAAUUGGAGUGCGCUAUUUAAGAGAAUUGCCAUGGUCGUAAACUGACUAUUUCCCACCAAUAUAUUAGGAAACAAACAUGUUUCACUAGGUUAAGGGCUAUUUCAGCAAAUGACCAGAGCUAUACACAAUUCCUAAUCAAAAUGCUCAACCAGUAGGGCAAGUAAUUAUUAACAAAUGAGUUAGGAGAUAUUGUAUUCUAUCGAAAUUGCGUUCUGACCAUGGAAGAAAUAAGUUCUAAUUUAGGGGAAGUGCCAGAAAUAGCGUAUCAAAAACAUGUACAAAUUCAGUACAUAAACAGUCCGUUGGCAAGGUAGAAAAAGGCAAUCGAACUUAGAGUAGUAACGGUUGCUUUACCGCGUUAUGGGGCUUUGUCGGGGCGGUAGGAUGCUUAUCUCAUGGAAUAUCAUACACGGAAUAAUCUACUAAGAUAACCACCGUCGCAUCUCAACAAUAACAAACAAGUGAUAACAGACACCGAAUUUCAACAAACAAAUGGCAAACAGAUAAUAACUAAUUCAUUUCAAUAACAACAAACAAGUUGCAACCAGAUAACAGCAGUCUCAUCUCACUAGUAUAAAUAGCUGUAAGAUCUCAUAAGAAUAUCCAUAAAGGCACGCAUUUUGGCGUAGCAAUAAAAAUAUAAACAAAAACUCAUGGCUUCAAAGAGAAUAUUUCACGCUGGACUCACGAGAUAAACGUCAACAAAUUUUCAAAUUAUAUGCGAUCAAUACUACACAGGCUCUAACAAUAAAGGUAAAUACACUAGAAGCACAACAAUCCUCUCAGAUAGUCACUACGACAGAUCAUCAUAUACAAGCGGCACAUUAUGCAGUCAUCACACAAAAGACUUGGAAAUCGCAUAUGCAAUCGCAACGAUGCGUAGACGAUAUCCUACGUCCAUAUAUUGGCAAGUUCGCAUAUGUUUACAUUGACGAUGUACUCAUAUGUAUAUUCUUCGUCACCCGAGAACGAGAAGAUUUCAAACGAGAAAUCGUAUUUUUUUCCAGGGUUCAGUCGAAUACCUCGGACAUAUAAUACAAUCACUGUAGAUCCAAAUAAAAUUCAAACUAAAAAGAAUUAUCCAUAUCCAAAAAAUUUAAAAUAAAAAAUUAAAAUUUUAAGUGGUGAAAAUUUAAAUGUAAACGCGUUUUAUAAAUUUGAAUUUCGAGAGCAUUCAUUAGCGGAAUUUCUGGUCAUACAUCUAAGCAUGGAUGCUCAAAAUGUACACAAAUUGCAAAGAUAAUAAAUGGAGUUUGAACUUUUAGUACCUA